AAAAUCCGUCGACUUUAAAAAUCGUGAGGGUUCAAGUCCNUCUAUCCCCAA
rnacentral:tRNA from 1 species